rnacentral:misc_RNA from 1 species
GAUGAAGAACGUAGCGAAAUGCGAUAAGUAAUGUGAAUUGCAGAAUUCAGUGAAUCAUCGAAUCUUUGAACGCACCUUGCGCUCUUUGGUAUUCCGAAGAGCAUGCCUGUUUGAGUGUCAUGAAAAUAUCAACCUUGACUUGGGUUUUGUGCUGUAGUCUCGGCUUGGAAUUGGGUGCUUGCCGCUUUUACGAGCGGCUCACCUUAAAUGUAUUAGCUGGAUCUGUCUUUGAGACUUGGUUUGACUUGGCGUAAUAAGUAUUUCGCUAAGGACAUUCUUCGGAGUGGCCUCGUUUCUAGGACGCUUGUCCGCUUUCCAAUACAAGUUCCACCUCGUGGACAUGACUUUUUAUUAUCUGGCCUCAAAUCAGGUAGGACUACCCGCUGAACUUAAGCAUAUCAAUAAGCGGAGGA